AUUGAACGCUGGCGGCAUGCCUUACACAUGCAAGUCGAACGGCAGCACGGACUUCGGUCUGGUGGCGAGUGGCGAACGGGUGAGUAAUGUAUCGGAACGUACCUUUCAGUGGGGGAUAACGUAGCGAAAGUUACGCUAAUACCGCAUAUUCUGUGAGCAGGAAAGCAGGGGAUCGCAAGACCUUGCGCUGAUUGAGCGGCCGAUAUCAGAUUAGCUAGUUGGUGAGGUAAAGGCUCACCAAGGCGACGAUCCGUAGCGGGUCUGAGAGGAUGAUCCGCCACACUGGAACUGAGACACGGUCCAGACUCCUACGGGAGGCAGCAGUGGGGAAUUUUGGACAAUGGGGGCAACCCUGAUCCAGCCAUGCCGCGUGAGUGAAGAAGGCCU
rnacentral:rRNA from 1 species